rnacentral:rRNA from 1 species
GACGAACGCUGGCGGCGUGCUUAACACAUGCAAGUCGAACGGUGAAAGCGGAGCUUGCUCCGCUGGAUCAGUGGCGAACGGGUGAGUAACACGUGGGCAACCUGCCCCUCACUUCGGGAUAACUCCGGGAAACCGGGGCUAAUACCGGAUAUGACCUCCUUGGGCAUCCUUGGAGGUGGAAAGUUUUUCGGUGAGGGAUGGGCCCGCGGCCUAUCAGCUUGUUGGUGAGGUAGUGGCUCACCAAGGCGACGACGGGUAGCCGGCCUGAGAUGGCGACCGGCCACACUGGGACUGAGACACGGCCCAGACGCCUACGGGAGGCAGCAGUGGGGAAUAUUGCGCAAUGGGCGAAAGCCUGACGCAGCAACGCCGCGUGCGGGAUGACGGCCUUCGGGUUGUAAACCGCUUUCAGCAGGGAAGAAGCCGCAAGGUGACGGUACCUGCAGAAGAAGCACCGGCUAACUACGUGCCAGCCGCCGCAGUAAGAC